UGGCAGACAGUUAACCCCUUUGUAGUCUGGUUCGUGGGGCUCUAGAGGGAGUCAUUCUGCAGCAGUGAGUGGGGAUUUCUGGCCACUGUCAGUAUUUGGAUGGCGGCUUUCACUGCCUGAAAGCC
rnacentral:snoRNA from 1 species